rnacentral:rRNA from 1 species
UACGUAGGGGGCAAGCGUUGUCCGGAUUUAUUGGGCGUAAAGCGCGUGUAGGCGGUUAGGUAGGUCCGUUGUGAAAACUCGAGGCUCAACCUCGAGACGCCGAUGGAAACCAUCUGACUAGAGUCCGGAAGAGGAGAGUGGAAUUCCUGGUGUAGCGGUGAAAUGCGCAGAUAUCAAGAGGAACACCUGAGGUGAAGACGGGUUGCUGGGCUGACACUGACGCUGAGGCGCGAAAGCGAGGGUAGCAAACGGG